GUAAGAGUUAUGUUCUUGAAACUUAAAAAAUUUGGCGGUAUUUUAGUCUGUUCAGAGGAAUUUGUUCUAUAAUUGAUAAUCCGCGUUGGACCUUACUUAAAUUUGUUGUCAGUUUAUAUACCGUCGUUAUCAGAAUAUUUUAAAAGAAUAAACAAUUUUCUUAAAUUUUUAUAUAAAUUUAUUUCAGAUCAAGGUGUAGCUUAUAUUUAAGUAGAAAUGAAUUACAAUAAAAUUAUUUAAAUGAAUAUUAAUAUGAAAAAUUGAUUGAAAGUGGAUUUGAAAGUAAAAUUAUAUAGAU
rnacentral:rRNA from 1 species